rnacentral:rRNA from 1 species
UACGGAGGGUGCAAGCGUUAUCCGGAUUCACUGGGUUUAAAGGGAGCGUAGGAGGGCAGGUAAGUCAGUGGUGAAAUCUCUGAGCUUAACUCAGAACGGCCAAGUGAUACUGCAGUGCUAGAGUGCAGAAGGGGCAAUCGGAAUUCUUGGUGUAGCGGUGAAAUGCGUAGAUAUCAAGAGGAACACCUGAGGUGAAGACGGGGUUGCUAGGCUGACACUGACGCUGGAGGCGCGAAAGCCAGGGGAGCAAACGGGA